GGGAGCUCCCCGCUAUGGCUGUUGGAUGGAAACUGGCCUUGAUCAGUAUCUGUGCCAUGUAGAGGUUUGCCUCACUCUUGGGCUGAAGGACCAGCGUGGGCGAGGGGCCACCACCAAGUGAGUCCUUGCCCCUGUCGCCUGCCUUAGAAUGGAUGGAGCCUGAGGUGUGUAGAACACGGUCUUCCCUCGGUUGACUCCUCUCCUCAUUAGGGCAGGAAAUGCCGUUAGCCCCUUAAAUGCCUGCCUCCAGGCAGUAAUUGGCUGGAUGAGGGAUAAUAAACUGAAACUGAAUCCAAGCAAGACAGAGGUGCUCAUUGUUGGGGGUCUUAAUCUGCAAGACAGGAUAGAACUGUUCUGGACAAGGCUGCACUCCCCCUGAAAGAACAGACCUCUUCAUCAGCUCCAGUCCAGCUUGCCUGCUCUCCCAGGUGGGGAAGAACCGUGGAAGUUGUUAGCAGGGUCUAAGAGCCUGUUCCAGGGUGUGUCGUGGGGUUACGCUCCUGGACUGAAGGGGAAGCACUCCUCCUGAAAGUUUUAAAAUCCCUCCACCUCAGUAUGCAAGAAGUCUAAGCAGCAGCAGCAGCAGGAGCAGCAGCAGCAGCAGGAGGGAUGCAAACUAACGUGAGCCCGAAAUAGGAUGGCCUGAGCUUUAAAAAUCUGAGGAACACUAGAAAUGGCCGGGGAGACAGCCUGAGAGAGACCCACAGCAUGCGACUUUCUCUUCCUCUAAAGCCCUGAACAGAUAAAAAGGAUUUGUUUGAAUCCAGCCUUAAUCCAGGAGGUCACAUUUGGAGACAGACCUGCACAUCCUACAGAGGAAAUUCUGGCCAAACCCCACUCCCCCUAUUCUUCUAAAGAACGGUUACCUCCCAAAUUAGCUCCCUGACUAAGAUUUUUGGACCAGCAUUUGGAUAUUACUACACAGCACUGAGAAAAAAGAAUUUACAGGUGAACCCUGUUAUCCGCAGUGGUUCCAUUCUCUGCUACAACCAUCGAUAAAGAAACAGCGGAUAAUGAGUCAUCGCCUCAAUGGGACUUGGGGAUUAGGUUUCUGGUGGGGUGGGGAGGCUAAAACUAAAUAUCCAUAGUAGCAAUAGUAAAAGGGCUAAAAUAAUUGAUAAAUUACAGUAAUUGAUUUGUAAUUGAUAAAUCUGUGUUUGAUAAAUUACAGAAACAAAGUGCUGUAGUGUGUUCCAUGGGUCUCCAGCAAGGCCUCCAAAAGGCCCAAUUCUGCCAUUUUUUGACAAGAAAUAAUGAUUAGUACCCCCCACUACCACCAUUGAAAAUGAGCCACAAAAUGGCUCCUGUCCUCAAAACAGUGGCUGGAAAGGACCUUGGAGGUCCUUUCCAGUCACCCCCAAAACCUCUGAUAUGCAGAAUUUAACCC